rnacentral:misc_RNA from 1 species
AACUGAUACUACCUGCGGGAACCUGCGGAAGGAUCAUUACUGAAGUGAUUUGGGGAUGUUGCUGGCCCUCUCUCAAGGGGGGGCACUGUGCACUCCUCGAAACAAUUCACAAUUUCCAUCACGCCCCUUGUGCACACCUUGUAGGCACCCAAACCCACCUCCGGGUGGUGGGGUCCUAUGUAUUCCUUCAUCUCACACUCUGUUGAAUGGUGCCAUGGGACGCAUCUAAAGGAUUAUUUG